GAACUGUAAAAUAGUUGAAAAGAUCUUCCAAACAUGCCACCGGGAGAGCAGGAAGCUUCUCAAGGAGGAGGUGUCAUCUGUGAGGGCCACCCAUGAGAUGGAUCCGCAGGGAGCCCAGGAGAGGCAGCAGCAGCAGGGUGUCGUCCCCUUCCUGGGCACGUUCCUCAAUCACCUGAAGCUGCUGGACAUUGGGAUGGAGGAUGAUCUGGAAGUGAGUGAGCCUGGAGGUGGGGCCAGGGAGCAGGAUCCUGAGGUUUGGGAGGCGAGAGCCCUGCACUGGGACCUGAGC